rnacentral:rRNA from 1 species
GACGAACGCUGGCGGCGUGCUUAACACAUGCAAGUCGAACGAUGAAGCCGGAGCUUGCUCUGGUGAAUUAGUGGCGAACGGGUGAGUAACACGUGAGUAACCUGCCCUUGACUCUGGGAUAACUGCGGGAAACUGUAGCUAAUACCGGAUACGACCCUCGGAGGCAUCUCCUGGGGGUGGAAAGAAUUUCGGUCAAGGAUGGACUCGCGGCCUAUCAGCUAGUUGGUGAGGUAAAGGCUCACCAAGGCGACGACGGGUAGCCGGCCUGAGAGGGUGACCGGCCACACUGGGACUGAGACACGGCCCAGACUCCUACGGGAGGCAGCAGUGGGGAAUAUUGAACAAUGGGCGCAAGCCUGAUGCAGCAACGCCGCGUGAGGGAUGACGGCCUUCGGGUUGUAAACCUCUUUUAGCAGGGAAGAAGCGAAAGUGACGGUACCUGCAGAAAAAGCACCGGCUAACUACGUGUCAGCCGCCGCGGUAA